UCAAUGAAAAUUAACUUCAAAGCUCGUAUUUACGGAUGUAAUCGUCGAAAUUCGACCUAAUAACCUAUUUUUGCCAAAGAUCAACCUAUUGGAUGUAAUUUUUCCAAUUCUUUUGCAAGAAGAUAAAGGAAGACCUUGAAAAGUUGUUACUUUUUAAGAAUUUGAAGAAGCUCGAGUAAGGAUGGUAAAGCUGAGGAGAAGCUCAAUGGGAGAAUAUAAUUCCCAAGUAAGAAGUGGAGGAAUAGUCCUUGAUUGAAGAUGUGGGUUAAGAAGAAGAAGGUGUCCGCUCUAAAUAUGGUUGCUCCAAUUGAUUUUGUGAAGAAAAGAAUUGGGAUGGGAAAGAUGAACAAUGAGGUGUUUCCUAUUCUUUAACAAUGAAGCAUGGUGUACUAAGUUGUAUGGCAGAUUCACAGCUAAUGAAGAACAUGCCAAAUAUUCAACAUUUAUGGUACUGGUGAUUAUGGAAAUCGACAUGGAAAAUCACAUGUUCUGGAAUGAAGUUUAUUGUCAUGAACAUUCAUAAGUAAGUUUCUUUAUGAAAUUGCAUAUAAAUUCAUAUUCAUUACCACCGCGUAAUAUAGCCUGCCAAACAGGCCACCUACUUAUCAUAUUAAUUUGUUAGCUAUGAAUUGUGAUGGCCACGGUCCAGUUUGGGCCGGUUCCGUACUGGUAAAACAUAUAGAACCUGAUUCGAACGUUUUCGGUUCCGGGCGGUUCCAAACAGUUCCUUGGCGAUUCAUGAGGUGGUUCCAACUCCUGGGUCGGGCGGGUCGGACCAUCGGUUCCAUUCUUAUUUUUCCUUUAAAUAUAAUAUAAAAUUACUAUAAUAAUACGAACGUGCCUUUGAUGAUUACUUGAUUAUUAGCGAAAUUCAUUGCUUGUCAUCGUUAUUAAAAUAUUUACUAAAAAGAAGGAAAAAAAUAAAUUAAUAAGAAACGAUAAAGAUGAUUAAUAAAAAAGAGGGAAAAAAUGGACUUGAACUUUGUACCCCAAGGAAUACUAAGCUGCCUACGUAUCCCGAAGGAAUCAAAGCCCACGUAGUUCUUUGUCAUACCUGUUAUUUGUAGUUGUUGAAUGUUGAUUGAUCGUUGUCCGAUAUUCAUGUUCCUAUUCGUCUUCGUCAUCAUCAUCUUGUUGGUUAGAUGCUUCCGCUAGCUCUCCUUCUGACGAUGAUGCAGAUGUAUCCAUCAUCAUCCAUGAAUCAUCAUCGUUCUUGAGUCUUUGUGUUCGGAGCUCCGCUUGAUCCCAAUCUUUCUUGCAAACAUAUAUUUGAAUAGUAUGUGGAGCAAGACGAGAUCUCUUUUCAUCUAGAACUCUUCUACCUGCACUAAAAGCAGACUCCGACGCAAUAGUAAAAGCAGGAAUUACAAGGAUAUCCUUUGUAAUUCUCGAUAAUAUGGGGAAUUUUAUUGAUUUUUCUUUCCACCAUUCUAAAAUAUUAUAACUACCUUGGUCAAUUUCAAAGUGAUGUUCAAGAUAAUUAUCUAGUUCAAAAUAUGAAGCGGAGGGUAAGGGAGAAGAUAGUCUUACAAAACUAUCAUCUUGGCUUAUUAUGUUAGCUAUUAUGGGAUUAUAAUAAGUGGGAUGUGCCGAGACGCUAGCACGCCUAGACGUAUCGCAACUUGGGUUAUAUACACUAGAAUAGUAAUCAUAAAGUUUUGCUAAAAGUUUUUUAC